ACAGCCCACCAACCGUCCCAGUCUACUCCCACACCCCACCCACCCCCGAUCCAGAUCCUCUGAUCCACCUCGUCUCCUCUCCUCUAUCGGCCUCACUUCCACCUCCUCUCCUCUCCUCUGCCGCCAGGAUCCCCUCCCCGUUCUUCUCUGAUUGAUGUCGUCCCCGUCUCUUCCCCUCUCCGAUCCAUGGCGGGAUCCUCUGCCGUGUACACGUUCUGCAGGCCGCACGCGCGCGCAGCCUUCCUCCACCACCCGGCCGACCAGGCCCAUCGCGGCGACCAGCCCGGGCUGCUCCCCGCCACGGCGGGGUGGCGCGGUGACCCCGAGGGCGAGCCUAGUGGCGGCGCGGACGGCGAUGGAGGAGGCGGUGUACGAGGUGGUGCUGCGGCAGGCCGCGCUGGUGGAGGAUCUGCAGGGGCGCGGGGCGGCACGGGAGGCUGAGGCGGGCAGGCGUCGGUGGCGGGAUGAGCAGCUGGAGCAGAAGGGCAAUGUCGAGCUCGGCAUACAGUCAAUAUCAUGCAAUCGGGGAUGUCAGCAAGGGAGACGUUGUUUCAUAUGGGCAGCACAACAGCCACAACGGUGUUGCCGUUCUCCACCAUGACUCUGUUCUGUUCCUCACGUGUACAUCGCUAGCACAUGGACGAUGUUUGGCUGCAACCCCUACUAUGGCUAGCAUAAGAGAAUAUCCAGAAACAAUCAAUCACACAAAUAAGAUGAGAGUGUAUCAGGCAUGUCCUCUUGAUUGCACAUUGGCGUCUGCCUGCAGAAGCUGCUUUUGCGCUGACGGGAUUGGGGUCGUGAUGGUACCUUCAAUUUGGAAUCUUGUUGUAGCAGGAGAGCGGAGCAGUUUGGAGAAAUUCAUGGUUAUUUACCGUUUCGAGUUAGAUUUAUUCCAUUUGAAAUGAGGGCAUAUAUACUUGAUUGGGUAUACGGAAUCUCAAUUUUGGCGCACAUGAUCUUACUAGCUUCUAAAUCCGCUCAGCUGUACUGAUGAUGGUGUGUUUGCUACUCACACAUUUUAUCCAAAGGAUCCUUGUGUCAAAGCGGUGGCCAGUUCUAGGUUGCUGGUAUGUAUUUUCACACCAUAUGUAUGCUUGUGCUUACCUCCAUAUGUAUGCUUGUGCUUACCCCCAUCCUCCUCGGCACAUUCAGUCAAAAUUUGACCAAAUACUGAAGAUGGUGAACUUGUGGGUGCUACGUGCCAUGCAUCUUGGCCAAUCUCAGGGAAAUAAUCAGUAAAGGCAGCAGUGUUUAGUUGUCCGCCACAGAGAUUCGUCGGCGAUAUUAAUUAGUAUAUCUCGGCCCAUUGUUCUUGCUAAUGAAGACUGUUACCAACAUUAAUUAUCCUUUCCUGUGUCUCAAAACUAUCAACCUGACUCAUAGAAUGAUUUUUUUCUUUAGGAUUCAUGUUUUUUCUUUUUAUUAUACAUUACAAUGAGUUCAUUGUAUUCAGUUUCUUUACAAGUUCAUGCAACUGAGCUAUUUGUA